rnacentral:rRNA from 1 species
UCGGGAAUUUUGGGCAAUGGGCGAAAGCCUGACCCAGCAACGCCGCGUGAGGGAUGAAGUAUUUCGGUAUGUAAACCUCGAAAGAAUGGGAAGAAUAAAUGACGGUACCAUUUAUAAGCUCCGGCUAACUACGUGCCAGCAGCCGCGGUAAUACGUAGGGAGCAAGCGUUGUUCGGAUUUACUGGGCGUAAAGGGCGCGUAGGCGGCGCGGUAAGUCACUUGUGAAAUCUCUGAGCUUAACUCAGAACGGCCAAGUGAUACUGCUGUGCUAGAGUGCGGAAGAGGCGACCGGAAUUCUUGGUGUAGCGGUAAAAUGCGUAGAUAUCAAGAGGAACACCUGAGGCGAAGGCGGGUUGCUGGGCCGACACUGACGCUGAUGCGCGAAAGCCAGGGGAGCAAACG